UAAGUGUAAGGCUCAUAAAGAAAAACAGCGUUUUAAAAAUGUCAGCUGUAUAACGUUAUUUCACGUUUGGUAGUUUUAUCCGAGUUGAAAACUGUCAGAUUUGAGUUGACUUUUGAGGCACUUUUUACUCAGUUGUUCUAUGGAAACGGUUCAGGACAAAUAAAACGCUAACCAAACGUUAUUCUGUCCAGAGUAACGUUAUCCAUGUAAGUAAUUUACCAGAUGAUAUCAAUUGACUACAUUAAUAAUGACAUUGUAUGAAACAAACUGUCUGCUUAAUCAGAUGAACAGACCCGCGUCAGUUAUUCGUGACUUCACUACGCCACGAGCAACACUUGAUUCAAUUAGAAAAAGCUUUUUUUAAAUGCCUCGCGUGACGUCUGGUAUAUUAACUGAAAAAAUUGCUUUGAAGUGCCACACCUUAAAGCUGACGUUUUCAGAAGAGCACCUUGUUUUAAGAUCUCAUUUUGUCCAAAAUUGCGUCCUAUGACAGAUAUAAUACUUAUUUCAUUAUUGCUCUGUGUAUGUGUGACCUUAAUCAUUUGAGGUUAUGUGUUGAUUUCACCUCUGAAUAUUUCCUCUUAUAGGUCCAUCAUCCUUGCAUGCGCUACACACUCAAAAGCAUUGAUAAAUGCUGAAUUUAAAAGAAUCACUACUGUCUUAUGUUCCUGCGUGUCACCUGGACCUCCAAUCCAAAAACCUGACGAAACUCUUCUAUCAGAAAGGAGGACAGCUAGCAAAAAGACUUCAAACAAUGAAUGAUCAAAUGACAGAAGGCAUGGAUGAAGUCAGCAUCAGUGUGGUCAUUUGAAGACACCACUGUUGGGAUUUGUGCUCUCAAACAACAUGCUUCUUGUGAUGAAGAAGAGGAUCUUUGUAUAGUCCUGGAAGGCAUGAAGGUGUUGCAACAUCGUGCCAUGUUGUUUGAGCUGAUGUAUGCCUUAAACCUGAGCUAUCCUGAUCUCUGCUUUAUUUUUGAAGAAAUCCAAAAGAUUUUAAUGGAACUGCAUUGAGCGUAACUUUAACGAACCGUUUCUUUCAGUGAAAGGAUUAGAAAGACUGUGCUGCUCAUUUAUGUUCUUUUUAUUUAUCAGUUUUAAGUGUUUUUUCUUAUUAAAACAUUAACCGUUUGCUGCUCAGAGUUGAUUUUGGAAAUGGUUGUUGUAUUUUGUUUUUGUUGAAUCUUUGAUUAUCAGUUUAUACAAAUGCUUUAGCUCUGACUUUCUGAAGGAUUGAUAUUUUCCAGUUUGUAAAUCCAUUUAAAAAAUAAUAGUACUUACUGUUUUGCAUGUCUCUUUGGAAUGCAGUGUUUGUGCUUUAGCACCUCUAAAUCUACUGUGAUAGUAACUAUUUUAAACAUUUGGGUCAGUUUUACAGAUUGGGCUUUUUCUAGUCCCAGACUUUUGCAAUGCCUUAAUUUGAAAACAUAUUGCACUGACAUAUCUUGACAUAUAUCAGUGCCAUUGUUUUGUCUCAAGAUGUACUCCAGUGUUGUUUUUGUAAGGUAGGUUUGUUUGUAAACUUUUUUUUGUAAGAAAUAUCCUAAUAUAACUAGGGCCUAGUCAUGGCUUAAUCCACAACCUGUCUGGGAAAUUGCCCCUUUGUAUG